GCAGUCGCCACGGGAAUACGAAGGGGGCUAGCGUUGUUCGGAUUUACUGGGCGUAAAGGGUGCGUAGGCGGAUUGUUAAGCCAGGGGUGAAAUCCCGAGGCUCAACCUCGGAACUGCCUUUGAUACUGGCGAUCUUGAGUCCGGGAGAGGUGAGUGGAACUGCGAGUGUAGAGGUGAAAUUCGUAGAUAUUCGCAAGAACACCGGUGGCGAAGGCGGCUCACUGGCCCGGUACUGACGCUGAGGCACGAAAGCGUGGGGAGCAAACAGGAUUAGAUACCCCCGUAGUCCCUGUCUCUUAUAC
rnacentral:rRNA from 1 species